CAGGGACCUGGUCUGCUGGGUAUCUCAAUCGAGUCUGUUGCAAUUUGUCCUUGAUAGGAAAAUGGACAUACUCCAUACCAGACUUUGAAGUGAUCCUGACCUCCCUGGGUGUCUUCAGGAGUGUCCUGGUGGUGGAAGGCAGAGGGAUCAACAUCCAUCCAGUCAUCGAGGUCAUCCUCCAAAGCAGAACGAUCCUCAAAUGACUCAUCCAAGUCCAAGGAGUUGUCCAUGUCACCAACAGGCGCAAGAACACCGGAUGGACUGCUGGACAAGCUGGCAUCAGCCACAUGGUGUUCUGUGACACAAACACUGGCAGUGCUUUCAGCUAUCCUAUUCAUCACUUGUUUAGCAGAUCUCCAUGAACGGAGGUACUGCCUUGCCCGUAACUGUUUUUCCUCACUCAUACUGUGAAAUAAAAUGUUUCACAUUUUAACGUGUGAUUGAGGUUUCAAUACAUUCUAGCCAUAAACUGUCUUAUAGCAGGCUUCAGACCAAAGAUUUGUGAUGCAAAUGCGGGCUUCAGACCAAAGAUUUGCGAUGAAAAUACAUGCAACAGGGUUCACACCCAUGCAACCUCUAUCAACAUCACCACCGUUUCCAUAACGACACCUUUAUUAUACCACUUGUUUUUACUAACUAGCUUGCUGGUAACGUUAACCAAUAAAGCUGUAGCAUACUUGGCAUACUUGUUACGCGACUGAUGUUUUGCAAACAGUAGCGUUCCUCACGCAAAGUGGAUAAUUAUUUUCUCCUACUCUCCUAAUAAUAUCGUGAAGCCUCUGCUGGCCUUGACUGACGUGAGUGUCAAGACGUCAUCAGCACUGAAGUAAAAGUGUUCUAAAACCUUGUAACUGCAAUACAACUGUCUUAUGACGACUUGCAACGUUCAAUUCACGCUGCUGCAACUUCUAUCUACAACGGUUUUGUUACGUUGCAUUGUGAAUCUUUGUUCUGAAUUGGCUUUUUAAGGCUGACAAGGCUUUAUACACAUACCUGACAAGAAUGAGGUAAACGGGGACUGGAGGGAAUGAUCUAUGAUGCAAAAAGAAAUGCAUAGGAAAUUAAUGUAAUUGUGUUAAACUUUUAAACAGUACAGUUCAUGAUACAUAUACAGUGUGAAACAGGACUAGGCCUAGGUUUUGUGCAGGUAAAGAAGAAGAUGGGAAUGUGUAAAUUCAUCUUAAAUCAAAACUGAAAGGUCCUACAAAACAUUGGGCCAGGUGGUUUAAUGGCACCAUAUUCUGGCUUUGCAUGACCUUUAUAUUGCAAUUGCAAAUUGCAUCUCAAGUUCAGGAUUACUAUUAUUAGCCUAUUAUAGUGAUUGGUGGAUUUCUUUAAAAUUGACUGACAACAAGUGAUGUCAAGAUCUCUGGUCGAUUUUUAUUUCAUUUUUUAGAACAUGACGUCACACAAGCGUCAAUCGAGUACUCGUUCAUAUUUCCUCCUAGACUGGGUAUGAUAUAUUUUUUCGUAGGAUAAGUCCCGGAUUCUCGCCUCUGAUUGGUUAGAAGGGCUCUCCUUUAAAUCGUCUUUCGAUUAGUCCUAGCUGUUUGCGGGAGUUUAUGGUAAGGAUUAGGGGUUAACCCAUUUGAACUACGCCAGUUGAUCGCGCCUCUUGUGCUGAUUGAAGAAAUUGACGGCAGCCUCCCCAGACCGACGCACAAUCUACGAUUGCCAGGCAAAUUUCCUCCCAUUCCCGCCAACACUUCACGGUGGGGACCCAGACCUACUGAUACGUGGUCGUUUUCGCUUGAAAUCCUCAAUAAGUUUGGUACAACACCUUCUGCCAACUGCUACCUAUUAGAUUUCGCUACCUACUUCGGCGCAUGCGCAUGACAUGCGUAAAAUUGUAAAAUACACAUACUAUACCCCUGAAAUCUCCAAUAAAGACAUUUUAAUACAGUAUACAAUUAUGCUCCCCAUAUUCUUAUGUCAGGUAGCGUAUUUCAUCUGUAGACCAACUGCCUCUAUCAAACGAUGCUCCCACUACAGAAUCACGUUAUUGUACACCACUAACCCCAUGUACACUAAGAAUAUGGGGAGCAUAAUUUGAUACUGUGUUAUUAUAACGUCUUUAUUGGAGAUUUCAGGGGUACAGUAUGUGUAUUUUACACCAAUACCACAACGCGGAAUCCAUAGCGUAAUCAUGCGCAUGCGCAGAACAGACCAGGAAGCACAAUAUGAUCGGUAGCAGAAAUUGGCAGAACACCCUGCUUGACGGAGUAAAAGAAGACAUGGCGAGGAACGGAAAGCUACGGGACCGAACUGAAGACGCUGGGAUCCACCAUUUAAGAGACAUCCGGAAUCAACAGGACAUCUUCACAACCCUGACUCGGCAGCGACAGUUGAGCCAGCCUCUCUGCAGCUUAAGGACAACUUCAGCUUGAUCGAAAACUGG